CUUUUGCACGACCUUCUCGGGGCCUGUACGUCAUAGUUCCAGGGAUUGAAGCGUUACAAGUGUCAGCUGUUGUUUCUUAAACUGGGAUGGAGAAGCGGGCAUCUCCCCAUCUCUAGGCCCCUUUUAUAAGCAAGCCGGGGCUUCUGCAAGUUAAGAAGCAUUUAUGAAGUGCUUAUUAUCUGCGCCAAGUGCAGUGGGCUCAGAUACAAUGACCAAAAACACAAAAACCCAAACCCAGUCCCCGCCCUCAAGGAGCUUUCAAUCUAAGCGGAGGGGCGCAACUCCGGACGUACAAGGGAGGUAUGGAGGGGCUAAAUUGGAGAUGAUGCAAUCAUUCAGUAAGCGUGUAUCAAGCACCUCCGGUUCUGUGCCAGGUCACUCAUUCAAGAUCCAGCCCCAGAAUGACUCUUUUCCCUUAACUGCUGUUUGGAGGUGUACCUCACACUGCUUCCUGGAAUGCUUGCCCUUACCUGUCCCUCUGGGAAUCUUUCCUUUCUAAGGUUACCUUGAAGAUAUUUCAGAUGUUUUGCAUUUAUUUCUGCUCAUACUUCCUCCCUUGGAAGAUUUAAGUUGGAGGUGAUGGAUAUGGCUCUUUUCAACAAUGAGUUAAUUCAAGGAACCAACUGCAUCCAGAGGCUGAAGAUAGAUCACAGUACAAUGUUUUCACCUUCCCCCCACAAUGUCUUUUUCCUUUUUGAUCUGAUUUCAAACUAUGGAAAAUGUUUAGAAAAAUUGCACAUGUGUAACCUACAUUGGAUUGCAUGCUCUCUUAAGAAGGGAGAAAAAUUUGUAACACAAGGUUUUGCAAAGGUGAAUGUUGAAAACUUUUUGCAUGUACUUGGAAAAAUAAAAUACUUUUAAAAGAAAAAAAGGCAAA